rnacentral:rRNA from 1 species
AACGAACGCUGGCGGCAGGCUUAACACAUGCAAGUCGAGCGCCCCGCAAGGGGAGCGGCAGACGGGUGAGUAACGCGUGGGAAUCUACCCAUCUCUACGGAAUAACGCAUGGAAACGUGUGCUAAUACCGUAUACGUCCUUCGGGAGAAAGAUUUAUCGGAGAGGGAUGAGCCCGCGUUGGAUUAGCUAGUGGGUGGGGUAAAGGCCUACCAAGGCGACGAUCCAUAGCUGGUCUGAGAGGAUGAUCAGCCACGCUGGGAAUGGGACACGGCCCGUACUCCUUCGCGAGGCAGGAGGGGGGAAUAUGGGACAAUGGGCGCAAGCAUGAACCAGCCAUGCCGCGUGAGUGAGGAAGGCCCUAGGGUUGUAAAGCUCUUUCACCGGUGAAGAUAAUGACGGUAACCGGAGAAGAAGCCCCGGCUAACUUCGUGCCAGCCGCCGCCGUAACAC